rnacentral:rRNA from 1 species
AGCGAACGCUGGCGGCAGGCUUAACACAUGCAAGUCGAGCGGGCACUCCGGUGUCAGCGGCAGACGGGUGAGUAACACGUGGGAACGUACCCUUUGGUUCGGAAUAACGCUGGGAAACUAGCGCUAAUACCGGUUACGCCCUUUUGGGGAAAGGCUUGCUGCCGGAGGAUCGGCCCGCGUCUGUUUAGCUGGUUGGGGGGGUAAUGGCCUACCAAGGCGACGAUCAGUAGCUGGUCUGAGAGGAUGAUCAGCCACGCUGGAACUGAGACACGGGCCAGACUCCUACGGGAGGCUGCAGUGGGGUGUACUGUAGGAUGAGGGCAAGCCUGGUCCAGCCAUGCCGCGUGAGAGGUGAAGGCCUUAGGAUUGUACAGCUCUUUUGUCCGAAACGAUAAUGACGGUACCGGAAGAAUAAGCCCCGGCUAACUUCGUG